ACAUGCAAGUCGGACGGCAGCACAGAGAAGCUUGCUUCUCGGGUGGCGAGUGGCGAACGGGUGAGUAACAUAUCGGAACGUACCGAGUAGUGGGGGAUAACUGAUCGAAAGAUCAGCUAAUACCGCAUACGUCUUGAGAGAGAAAGCAGGGGACCUUCGGGUCUUGCGCUAUUCGAGCGGCCGAUAUCUGAUUAGCUAGUUGGUGGGGUAAAGGCUCACCAAGGCGACGAUCAGUAGCGGGUCUGAGAGGAUGAUCCGCCACACUGGGACUGAGACACGGCCCAGACUCCUACGGGAGGCAGCAGUGGGGAAUUUUGGACAAUGGGCGCAAGCCUGAUCCAGCCAUGCCGCGUGUCUGAAGAAGGCCUUCGGGUUGUAAAGGACUUUUGUCAGGGAAGAAAAGGCUGUUGCUAAUACCAGCGGCUGAUGACGGUACCUGAAGAAUAAGCACCGGCUAA
rnacentral:rRNA from 1 species